UACGUAGGGCGCAAGCGUUGUCCGGAAUUAUUGGGCGUAAAGAGCUCGUAGGCGGCCUGUUGCGUCCGCUGUGAAAACCCAAGGCUUAACCUUGGGCUUGCAGUGGAUACGGGCAGACUAGAGGUAGGUAGGGGAGAAUGGAAUUCCCGGUGUAGCGGUGAAAUGCGCAGAUAUCGGGAGGAACACCGGUGGCGAAGGCGGUUCUCUGGGCCUUACCUGACACUGAGGAGCGAAAGCGUGGGGAGCGAACAGG
rnacentral:rRNA from 1 species